rnacentral:misc_RNA from 1 species
AGAAUACAUAACUGUGAGAGAUUUGAUCUUCCGGGGGAGAUUUGUACUUGGAUUGUUUGAUUUGUGGAGGAGAUAAUGCAUAGCAAUGAGACAUAGAGGAAUGAUCUAAGGAACAAGUGGAAUCGGGUGGAGAAUCAAAGCGUGAGGAAGAGAGUGUAGGAGGGGGUUUAGGAGGUGGUGAAGACAAAGAGUAGUGCAUGGUGAGUGGUGGUGGAUUUGAGAUGGAGUGAUUACGUUGUUCAUCUACUUCUUGGAGCUGCGGCUCUUCUUCUUCUUCUCCUGGUAGUCGUUGAUUAUGCUCAUUUUCUUGGACGUGGGGGUGCUGUUGCUGGGCAUCUUCCUGGGUUUUCAUGGUUUCUUGGAUUUAGAGAUACAGUUCUGAAAUUAGCAAUCAAAGUUUAGUAUUGAAGUGAAUAUGGAGAUUGCUUCUGGUAUUGCCAAUGUUGAAACCUGACAGUGCCCUGUGUAGACUUGACG